GGUGGCUCAGUGGUAGAGCACUUGCCUAGCAUGCAUGAAGCCCUGGGUUCAAUUCCUCAGCACCA
rnacentral:tRNA from 1 species